rnacentral:tRNA from 1 species
CAGGGCGUGGCCCAGUCCGCGAAGCGCGCCUGCUUUGGGAGCAGGAUGUCGCAGGUCGAACUGCCGCCCUGACCG